AAUUUAGAAAGCACCGCUAAGAUGCAUGGUUGGGAUGAGCGUACCUUAAUUUGUAAUUGUACUGCAAAGUUGAGUGGUUAUGCUAAGGGAUGGUAUGAGCAACAAGCAUCAUAUGAGAUUAGUUGGAUUGAGUGGAAGGAAAAAUUAAUAAAGGCUUUUCCUUUCACUAAAAAUAAAUUAUCACAAAUCAGGGACUUAGUGAAUCGAGUCCGGUUGCCUAAUGAAGAGCCUAUAGAAUUUUAUUACAAUAAAUUGGGAAUAGUAUCAAUAAUUUAGAUGCUAGUGUAGAACAAGACCAACCUGUGACAGCAUUGAGAAGUGUCAGUUCUAACAAAAAUAUAAAAUGUUUUGUUUGUGGCAAAUUAGGUCACAAGGCAAGUAGAUGUCGUAAGAGCAAGGAACACAGAUAUA